UCUAAUGUGGCAGAUUAGUGCGAUGGAUUUAAACCCCACUUAUAAAAUUAAUUUUUCUUUAGAA
rnacentral:tRNA from 1 species